rnacentral:rRNA from 1 species
CCAGACUCCUACGGGAGGCAGCAGUGGGGAAUAUUGCACAAUGGGGGAAACCCUGAUGCAGCAACGCCGCGUGAGUGAGGAAGUAUUUCGGUAUGUAAAGCUCUAUCAGCAGGGAAUAGAAAAGAAGGUACCUGAAAAAGAAGCCCCGGCUAACUACGUGCCAGCAGCCGCGGUAAUACGUAGGGGGCGAGCGUUAUCCGGAUUCACUGGGUGUAAAGGGAGCGUAGACGGCCAAGCAAGCCAGGGGUGAAAGCCCGGGGCCCAACCCCGGGACUGCCCUUGGAACUGCAUGGCUGGAGUGCGGGAGGGGCAGGCGGAAUUCCUGGUGUAGCGGUGAAAUGCGUAGAUAUCAGGAGGAACACCGGUGGCGAAGGCGGCCUGCUGGACUGUAACUGACACUGAGGCUCGAAAGCGUGGGGAGCAAACAGGAUUAGAUACCCUAGUA